rnacentral:rRNA from 1 species
AGGACGAACGCUGGCGGCGUGCUUAACACAUGCAAGUCACGGGGGCCCGCAAGGGCAACCGGCGAACGGGUGCGUAACUCGUGAGCAACCUACCGAGAUCUGGGGGAUAGCCGGCCCAACGGCCGGGUAAUACCGCAUACGCUCUUUCCACGGCAUUGUGGAUUGAGGAAACCUCCGGGGGAUUUCGAGGGGCUCGCGGCCUAUCAGCUAGUUGGCGAGGUCACGGCUCACCAAGGCGACGACGGGUAGCUGGUCUGAGAGGAUGGCCAGCCACAUUGGGACUGAGAAACGGCCCAGACUCCUACGGGAGGCAGCAGUGGGGAAUCUUGCGCAAUGGCCGAAAGGCUGACGCAGCGACGCCGCGUGUGGGAGGAAGCCUUCGGGGUGUAAACCACUGUUGCCCGGGACGAACAGCUCCUCGUGAGCCUGACGGUACCGGUGAGGAAGCGAACCGGCUAACUCCGUGCCAGCAGCCGC